rnacentral:rRNA from 1 species
GAAUAUUGCACAAUGGGCGUAAGCCUGAUGCAGCGACGCCGCGUGGGGGAUGACGGCCUUCGGGUUGUAAACGCCUUUCGACAGGGACGAAGCGUUAUAGUGACGGUACCUGUAGAAGAAGCACAGGCUAACUACGUGGCCGCAGCCGCGGUAAUAGGUAGGGUGCGAGCGUUGUCCGGAAUUACUGGGCGUAAAGAGCUCGUAGGGGGGUUGUCGCGUCGUCUGUGAAAUCCCGGGGCUUAACCUCGGGCGUGCAGGCGAUACGGGCAUAACUUGAGUGCUGUAGGGGAGACUGGAAUUCCUGGUGUAGCGGUGAAAUGCGCAGAGAUCAGGAGGAACACCAAUGGCGAAGGCAGGUCUCUGGGCAGUAACUGACGCUGAGGAGCGAAAGCAUGGGUAGCGAAC